CAGGAAUUUUCACCGAAUGCCCUAAUGCGUGAGAAUAGCAUGCACAUCUGAAAAAUCAACAGCCCACUUCCCCCCACUGGAGGAAAUGGAUUAAGCAGUAUUUUCUGUAGUACAAUGGACCUGACUGAAGGAAUAACAUGGCUUUUGAUAUAUGAUAAUUGUAGGAGACUGACACAAAAAAUAGGCCAAAUAAAGUCCUCAAAGGUACGUAUAUAGAACAUUUUCAAGGCCUGGAAAUAGCUUGUAUACAGAACAUCCUCUUUUUAUUCAGCCAAAAGAAUGUGCUUACACUGCAUAAAGGACAAGGGGUGGGAGUUACAAGUUGCUUCCUGUGAUUAUUUCCAGCCGUAAUCAAUGCAGUACUGAGUUAUUGGUUCUGUAAAGAGCCUGCUCUAUGCUAGCUAUGGAAAAAUAAAAUCCAAAAAGAGGAAGAGAGAGAGAGAAAAAGAAGGAGGGGGGAAGAGAAGGAGCUCAAGAAGGACUGCACUAUUAGAAGCAGAAAAACAGGUUCCUAAAGGAUGAAUUUGAGCUCAGGUAUAUUCUGAGGGAUGAGGAUUGUUGUUUCGAACAGAAUUAAGUGUAUGUAUACUGGUAAUUGAUGCUGAAUGCACAAGUUCAUUUGUAUCCAGUCAGGCUGCAUCAAGAUUCAUUGCAUUUAAUGGGAAAUUCACUCUUCUGGAUCAGAUACCUAUUUUCAAUUUGGACAGUAUCUGAUUCCAAUGGCAGAGGUGACAGAAAUAAAGAGGAGAUGAGAAGCAACUGCCUAUGGUAUAGAUUUCUGCAAUGCUAACACAGCUGCCAGUUUCUGAACCAGUAGGAUUAUCCAGGACUCUCCAGGCUCCCGACAGCUGGUCGCUGGGGUCUGAAUAAACGCAGCCAGUGCCGUGUGGAUCUGGGGGAGGAAGAUGCUCCAUGUAUCCAUAGCCACAGGGGGCUGUGCCACAGGGCCUCUGUGGGCUCCCCAAGCCACCUACCAGCUGGCCACCUCCCAGAGAAGCUGCCUCUGCCCCCUGACACCCACAGGACCCCUGCCCAGGGACAAUACCCUAUUGAGGGGUUUAGGAUGCUGGGAGUACUCACUAGCCUGAUUUCUCUCUUUCCCCUUCUCCGCCUCACUCUCGCCUCUCUGCCCUCUCCAAACCUCUCCCUUUUCUCUAACAGUGUAUUUCCCAGCCAGAGAGCCUUUUGCUACGGUGGGCCCUCUUAUCCUGCCAUCACGCUUCGCUGAGCCUGCUGUCCUGGGAUUGGGGAGAUGCUGAGCUGUAUUCAUUGUGACACAAAGUAAAAGCAGCAGGUUCCCAGCCUCAUGAGCAACAGCAACACUCCAGCAUUUAAUGGACUUAAACCUCUCCUGCAACCCACCUGUUUCUGGG
ensembl:lncRNA